rnacentral:rRNA from 1 species
GACGAACGCUGGCGGCGUGCUUAACACAUGCAAGUCGAACGGAAAGGCCCUGCUUUUGUGGGGUGCUCGAGUGGCGAACGGGUGAGUAACACGUGAGUAACCUGCCCUUGACUUUGGGAUAACUUCAGGAAACUGGGGCUAAUACCGGAUAGGAGCUCCUGCUGCAUGGUGGGGGUUGGAAAGUUUCGGCGGUUGGGGAUGGACUCGCGGCUUAUCAGCUUGUUGGUGGGGUAGUGGCUUACCAAGGCUUUGACGGGUAGUCGGCCUGAGAGGGUGACCGGCCAAAUUGGGACUGAGAUACGGCCCAGACUCCUACGGGAGGCAGCAGUGGGGAAUAUUGCACAAUGGGCGGAAGCCUGAUGCAGCAACGCCGCGUGCGGGAUGACGGCCUUCGGGUUGUAAACCGCUUUCGCCUGUGACGAAGCGUGAGUGACGGUAAUGGGUAAAGAAGCACCGGCUAACUACGUG